GCCUGGAUAGCUCAGAUGGUUAGAGCACAUCAUUGGUAAUGAUGAGGUCGGCGGUUCAAUUCCGCCUCCAGGCU
rnacentral:tRNA from 1 species